rnacentral:rRNA from 1 species
GUCUACGGCCAUACCACCCUGAACGCGCCCGAUCUCGUCUGAUCUCGGAAGCUAAGCAGGGUCGGGCCUGGUUAGUACUUGGAUGGGAGACAUAUAAGCAUUUUUUCUUAAAAUUGUAUCCU